rnacentral:lncRNA from 1 species
CUCCUGGUCGGAGGGGAACUCUUCUGGGUCCUUGACAGUAUAGCAUUGGCCGGUGCUCGGUAGUUUCGGGAUUGGUCAAGUAUGGUACAAACAUUAGUAGUAUCAUAUACUCUUGCUUUAAAAACCGUUUUAUAAGCAUAGUGGGAGUAUUAUAUACAACUAAAACAAUCAAAUGGACCAAUAGUUGUAAUAGGACCAAAAUUGUUUUAAUAAGAUUAAAAUGUAUGUUCAUAUAUGAUGAGACCUAAAACCCUCAACCAAACCAUUAUUAAGUUGAUAAGCGAGAGAUGCUUUGAACAUCUCUUCGUAGGCCUUCCACCAUGGUGGGCUUCAAUCGUUUGUGACUCAUACACCGUAUUCGUCCAGUUCUUGGGUAUGCAAAGUAUGUGCUUACAUUCAGGAGAAGCCUAUAAACAUAUGAUGAAGUGAAGGUAGGCAACGAGUAUGGUCAAUAUGAUAUUCUUCUGAGGCCAUUCUUGAACCCCUACUUGAACUAGCAUGGUGGGAAUGACUUAACUAAGUGCAAUGGUGCCAAUAUGAUAUUCUUCUGAGGCAUCAUUUUCUAGAGGCCAAAUUAGAUGGGUAAUUACAAAAGUUGUGAAUGGCUAAAGCGUUAUCCUCUCAUCAUUAUUGUUGCUAGCCAAUAUGAUAUUCUUCUGAGGUGGGCUUGGUAAUGGUGAGUCUCCCAUACCCUACUAAGAGUUUCAUCCAAAACUCUCGAAUUCCAAUGAGGGAUAUGGAAUUUGCCAAAAAUAAUGGGUGAUGCUAUUUGAUUUAAAGACUCGAAUUAAAUGGCUUAAAAUCAAUCAAUUUAUAUUCAUUAUGUAUUUGUUUACCAAUAUAUUUGCAAACGCUAUCCAAAACUUGACAAAGAAAAGCCGAAUGCUUUAGUUUCCGGACUUGGUACAACAAUCCCAAAGAUUGUCUUAAAUGGAUUGUAUAUGUACCUAAGUAGUCUCAUCCUCACAAUCUUUCUAUUGAUAAUGUAUCAUUGGAAGAACAUGUUAGAUAAGUCUAUCAUGAAGAGGAUAACACAAACAACCAAUGCUUAUUCCUUUGUUAUAUGAACAAGGGAACUUACGAAGAUUAGCAUAAAGACAAGGACACUUUUAGUGUUGUUAGUUCUUCACUUACAAAUUGUUGUAUUAAGAAAUAAGAGUUGCUUUGAACAACCCUUAGCUAAUGCAAACACUAGUGCUUGUUUCUUUGUUAAAUGAACACAGAACUUGGGAAGAAAGCACAAGGGCAUGGACACUUUAUGUGCCAUGAUUCUUCACUUACAAAUUGUUGUAUGAAGAAAUGAGAGUUGCCUUGAACAACUCUUGAAAGUUUGUAAUUAUGUUUAGAACAUAAUUGUUGGUUGACAAAAAUAGUCCAUCAACAUGGACUUAUGAUGAUUUUGAAUCAUUGAGUGUUGAAGUGUUAAACCACUUCUAGAAACGGAAACUAGGCAAGGACUUCACUUUUGUGUCCCUAUCCAAAUGGUUCACUAAGUUUAUUGUAAACUAUACAGUGAACAAUAACCACACACUCUCCAAAUUGUUUGAUGUGUAUAACACAAUUGAAAUAAGUUUCAAGAGAGAUAGUGGGAGUUUAGGGACCAUGACUAUUGUAGUCAAAGGAGAAGUCAAAUGAAGAAAGCGAAAUAAACUCCAAGGGAACAAACUUUCUUUAUGAAAGGAUGGACAUUGGAAGGGGUAUUUGCAAGAAAUGUCUUGCAAGUGUCAAGAACACACUUUUCGAAGGUGUUGUAAAUUGUUCUUGAAAAGUUCAAAACAGUUGGUUCUUCUACUUGAAUGCUUGAUUCCGUAUUAGUAACUAUGUUUUACAAUUGUUGUAAAAGUGUGACUAAUAAAAAGUAGAAGAUUAAUGAGAGAAGAGAAAGUACUUCACAUUCGGAACGUGAAUCAAAUGUAGAUCUCUGCGAAAGCAGAUGGUACUUACUUUCUCAUAUGAACUACCAAAGAAAUUGGAAAAACCAAAGAUUGUCUUUACAUUCCAAUUUUAAGGAACUUAAUUCCAUCACUAUAGGGAUGGAUGAAUGUUUUGUUUGACAAAACAUUGUUCUUUAUUAAUGAAUGAUUAGAUUAUUGUAAUCUAAUUAAUUAUCUCUAUAGUAGAGAUGAUAUGGUAGUGUUAACUGUUUAGAAGUAACGAUGCUUAAAACCCAAAAGGUUGCAAGGUAGUGACUAAUCCCAACUGAGUUGUGAUACCUCAAAAACAUAAAAUACGAGUUGGUCAUAGAUGAAUGCUUUAGAUCAUUAGAUCUGGAUCCAACACCUUCUUAUUAAAAUUGUAUAGAGGCGAAAUGUUCGAAUCUUUAUUCUUUUGGAAAGAAGAAAGAAUCACAAAGUUGUUGAGGUUAAUUCACUUAGAAGUUAGUGGCACUUGUCCACAACAUAAUACUACUCAUGUUGUAUGACAUUCACCGAAGAUCACUCUCGGUUGGACUAUAGUUUAUUUUGAAUAAACACAAGUCCGAAUACUUUGCAAAAUGUUUCAAAGAAUUCAAGAAAUGUAAGUUGAUGAGUAAGACGUCUAAAGUAUUUGCCUCCUUAGAUUUGAUCCAAGGAAAGAUAACACUUUAGAACAGUUUCCUUGAAAAAUAUCAAGGAAAGAAGCAUCAUAAGAUAAUGGAUUUCUCCAUUAGGAGAAGAACGAACAAGAAUAUGAUUUAGUUCGUUGGAUAUUAUCAAUUACCCAUAUAUAGGAUAUAUACUUCUAAGACAAUAUGAUUGUCAAUUAGAAGAUCUUCCAAAAUUUUUCAUGACUCCAUAGGAUGUAGUUGGAAAGAAAGACAAAUCUUAAUCAUGUUAAGAUUUGGGGUUGUGUGCUAAUAAACAAUAUUUGUUUGAGAAUUAUCUUGUGGGUAUCCUUAAAUUAACAUUUGGAUUUCACUUCUAUAAACCAACUAACAAAUGUUGUUUGUUGGGUAGUUCAUUGUAAUCCUACACCAGGAUUUGCCUAAGAUAGAGCAAAUGAACAAGAGAUAGAACUCAAAGAAUGGGUUCUUUGAGAGACAAGAUAGUAAUCAACAAAUAUAACAACCUAGUUCCUAUACCACAAGCUCUAAGGUAGUCGAGAAGGAUUUAUAAACCGUCUUAGUUGAAUGGUUUGAACUUUAUGACUAUGUCAUAGAGUUGCACCUCUUAAUUCGAAAGAAAUAAGAAUGAAAAUCCUUAUGACUACAUUGAAUGUAUAUACGAUAUAUACUCAAGGAAAUGGUAAAGUACCAUUUGACCCGAAAUAAUGAAACCUCCAUAGCUAAUUGGUAGCUUAAGGUGACUACAAUCAAAGAGAUUGGUUGACUUUGAAGAAACCGUCUUUGACGUAGUCAUGGUUUCAAUUAAUUCGAAGAUUGCUUGCUACAACUAAAUGGUGAUUCAAUGUUUGGACAUAAUAUGGGUUUCCGAAACCAUUACUAAGAUAGUCUUGAUAAUAUAUGUCUAAAACUAUGAAUCACAAGACAUGUAAGUUGUAGAGAUCCAUCCAUCAUGGAUCUUAGCAAGCUAGUGGGAGCUAUAAGCGUCUUAUGAGAGAAAGAUCAAAUCGUUUGAUUUCUCAUAAAGAUGUGAAUGAAUCUUUUGUUUACUAGGUUUACAAAAGAUUAGUGGGAGUUAAUCAUAUUCCUAAAUUUAAAUAUAUAUAUAUAUAUAUAUAUACACACACACAUAUAUGAUAUAUUAAUUUUGGAAAUGAAAAGAAUACUUCUUCGUUAAAGUUAUGACUUUAAACAUUCUAUAACGAUAGAAUGUAUAUGGGAGAUAUAGUCUAAAAACAUGGGAUAGAAAUCUAUAAUGAUAUAUUCAAGAUAUAAUUCGAUUAUAUCAAUCCCUAAUAAUAGACAAUAGAUGCUAGGAAGUUUCUCAUAUGAUGAUAAACUUCAAUUAGAAGGACGACUCUAGUGAGACUAGCAAGUUGCCCUUCUCAAAGGGAACGUGCCCUUUAACUCCCAAAGAAAUAAUGCGUAAAUAGAAUCCUUUAUGCAUACGCAGAAAGGUGAUUUAUGAAUUUCAUAUUGUAUGAAAACAUUGAUAUGAGUUGUACCUAGAUAGGUACAAGACGAUAUCAGUGCAAGCCCAGGAUCAGAACCACGGCAACUGUCAAGUGAAUCCUUAAGUAUUUAAGAAAUACUAAAGGAUAAAUUCCUCGAAGAAUGAGGAAGAAUUAGAGUAACGUAAAGGAAGCGUAAAUGUAUUAGAUUAUGAAUCUAAUCCAUCAUUGGAUGUUUCUUCAUUAUGAAUGAAGAGAUAAUAAGAUAUCUCUUUAUUAUGACUAAAGAGAUAUUUGGAUGGAAACAUUAAAAGUAAUGACUUUAGUGUGUUCCAUUAUGAAUGCAAAUAUAUUGCCAUAUAGAAGCUUACAAACAGUGUUGUUUGGAUGGGAAAGUUCAUUUAUGAACUCUCUAUUGGGUUCCAACCAGAAAGUGUCUCUAGUGUACCGACACUACGACACUAAUGGGGCGAUAGCUCAAGCCAGGGAAUCAAGGUCUCAUCAAGAUCCGAACUCAAAUGAGAGACUAAACCACAUGAUUAAGAAUCAUGUAUAAUGGUGACGUCAUUAUUCUCAAGGUUGCUUCUAUGGAUAACAUAUAGAUAUCCAUUGCCUAGGCCUACUACUCAGCCAUUUUUGAAAUGAUUACAGAAGAGGUAUCAUCACUGAUGACCAAGUUGAUUGGCUCUAGUGCAAGUGGGAGAUUGUUGGAAAUGUGCCCUAAAACCAAUCAUAUGAUGAUACUUUACGGACAUUUCACAUGUUAAACUAAUCUAGUUCAAUAUUAAGGGCAAAGAUUAUUGUUUUAAGCCGUCUCAUAUAAAUGUUAUAUGCUUAAACGAUAAGUCCAUGGGAUAUGUAAUUAGGAGAAUGUAAUUUAAAGAAGUGAGAUUCAUGGGACCAUUCUCUUUCGUAUACAUAUCCUAAACGUUCCUGAUCAUAGGAUUGCCAAUUGGGCAUUGACAGUCCGUUAAGAUCAGUAUGUGCUAUGUCUUAUCUUAGUGAGAGUGACUGGUCUCGAGUCAUUGGUGUGACUGACACCAAGACAAGUACGUAGGUGCUCAAUAAGGAAUGAGUUCACUGAACACGAUCAACGAAGAGUUCUCAUACUUAUGUCACAUGAGAACUCAUGGUUGGGAUAAUGCAAAGUAGUCCUUUGACUUGAGGCAUCAUAGUUGUCUUGUGGUUAAGUUCUUGAUCUUUGAUUAUGUCAAAGUCACUCCAUUCGAGGGUGUCCACGGCAUAGUUGGGGUUAAGCCACUUAGCCAUGAAGGCGAGUGAAUGCGCAACAAGGGAUCUCUAACCUUCAAACCGUUUGAGGGAGAAUACUCUAUGAUAUGAUUAAGAAUCUCUAGCCAGAGUAUGAAUGAGGUUUAGGAAGUCGUUCCAAAUCACAUUCAAAGUAAUCAUAUAAGUAAAUGAAUCACAUUGGAUAGUAGACAUGAAUAAACUAUCAAUCCAAACAAUGUGAUCAAGAGUAUUGUAUUAGAGAAAGACCGUAUUGCAUUGUAAUCCUAAACUGAAUAGGUUCUCCACCUCUUCUGAUUAGCUUGGGUAACCAUGACAUACUGCUAGGUGUCACUCAUGAUUUGUGGAAACCCUAAACGUAUAUAAACACUAAAGGGAGAAUUGAAACUAAGUUUCAAUUCACAAUCGAUUUGAAAGAGUUUUAAUCGCCCACUGCCUCGCUAAAAGGAACCUAGUGGAUCGUACAUCGUGUAAGGUAGAGAUUGAAGAAAAAACGGAGAUGAGUAAGAAUAAUUAAAUGGUUUAAUUAUUUAUGGCAAGGAUUAAUUAAUAUGUUAAUUAAUCAAACGAAUAAAGUUCGUUAAAAGACCACGGGUUAGUUUUGGGCCUCAAGGUCCAAUGGGCUUCGAACGUCAAGCCCAUUGACUUAAGUUGUAUAACAACUUAAUGACAAAUAAU